CACAUUUCGACGUAGGAACUAGUAAUAACUGCUAUGUAAAAUAGUAAACUGGUUAAAAUCCUUGAAACCCGAAAAACGUGAACGUUGGAGUACUCAAAAUAGUUGGAUCCUAACAUACUCGAUUGAGCUAGUACAGCACCAUUCGAAAUCUUGUACUGCGACUGAAGUGAAUGAAGGCGAACGAAAUACAUAAUGCCGCAAUGUUUUCGAAACGAAUGCAAAAACGUAGGAAUCGAGUGAUUCGAUUCGAGAUGCACAAUGCCACCCCUGGUCGACAGCAAUCUUUGUAGGUGCGGAGCCGGUUACGAUGACAUCGAUCACGUAGUUUGGUAUUGCACGGAAAAUGGCGCCUCAAGAGAGCAACUAUUGGAUACCCUUGUGGCCCGAGUUUUUUUUCUUGUCUGUCUCAUUGUUCCGUGUACCAUGAAGCUCUGGCCAUCCGGAAGAUGCUCCCUGAAGAACCAAAACCCGAGCACGACGCUACGCCAAACCAGACAUGACGUCAAAUACCCGGAUGAGCAGCUGAAAUACCUCAAAACUAAAUCCCAACUCCGUCCAUCACGAAAUUACGCAAUCUCACCUUGAGUCGC